CACCACCAUGCCCACCAACCAUGUCUCACAGUGCCACAGGUUGGGUUUUGGUGGUGCUGGGCUGGAAAUAGAGAACAAACACAGUCUGCAUUGGCCAUCAGACCCUUGUUGGAUGUCUCCGUACAAAAGUACAUGAAACUUUUUCCUCUUCCUGUUUAGCUCCUGCCUUCCCACUGCCCUCAGAGUGGGGACAGACGUGUGCGAUGGCUGGGCCUGAUGUGGUGGUGGUGGGAUUUCUCCAUACUGCACUUCCAAGCUCCUCUUCUCCGUGUGGGGUGACAGAGCCCUGGAAUAGGCUGCCCAGACAGGUGGUGGGGUUCUCCUUCUCAAGAGAUAUUCAAGACCCACCUGGAUGCUUUCCUGUGCGACCUACAGGAGGGAAUUGCUUUAGCAAGGAGGCUGGAUGAGAUAUUUCUAUAGGUCGCUUCCAACCCUUACAAGUCUGUGAUGCUGUGAUUCUUAGCAGAGCUGUAGAGGGAGCACACAGGUGGCAGAUGGCUGCUAGCACAGAUUCUCUGUACGAACGUGCCAGGGCUUCCUCAACUGCCAAGUGUCCAGAUUCUCCCCAGACCAGACAGGUUUUGUACUGCUCUCAGCCCUACCCAUGCAGUCAUGUGAAGGAAGAGAAAAGCAAUGCAGCAGGCUGAGUGCCAGUCUGAGGGGGAAAAGUUCAGUGGCUUUUGCUGACUCGUGCGGUGGGUGCUGCUUACAACGCUCUGCAGGGCAGGUGAUGUGCCAGACAGUGAAGGACACAAGGAGAAGAACCCCUGCUCUAAGCCCAGCAAGUAUAUAUAUAGGCUUUGUGGUAUUAGUCUAAUUGGGUUUGUUAAUGAAUCCAACCCCACGAGGUGAUAAAAUGGGUCUGUAUCAUAGAAUCAUAGAAUAUCCUGAGUUGGAAGGGACCCAUGGGGAUCACUGAGUCCAAUUCCUGGCUCCACACAGGACCACCAUCCACUAUUUAGGAUACUAAAGUUAGGGAAAGUAUGGGCUCACAGGAAAUAUGCUCAGGCAACUGUGGGCGUUACAAUGAAGUGAACUUUCACAAACUUUUUGCAGCAUUUUUCUGGCUCUAAUCUUCAGCUCUGCUUGCCUUCUGUUUGUGUCAGCAGAACUAAUUUAAGAGCCAUGAGCCCUAAGGUGCUUAACUGCUUCUGUGCCAGCUUGUGGUCUGCCGCCUCAGAGACCAAAAGUACCAUUCGGAUGGGGAAAACUGGGUAAAUGCUCUGAGAAUCCGCAUGCUGGUCCCUGUCCUUCCUAAGGCAUGGAGAACCACGAGGAGUGCGUUACAGCAACGUCUUCCUAAGGGUUUGGGUAUCUGUGUGACCGACUCAAAACUACUGAAUGGGGGAAGGUUUAGCGUUGGGUUUUUGGCAGCACUUGGCAGAUAUUUCCAACCAGAAUAUAUGUGGGGAUGAGAUUUAAAUUGCUUGGAGUUGAGGCCUAAGACAGCCAUUGGCCUUAAAAUGUCACCAUCUCAGCAUCUCUGAAACCUUGCAUGGGUAUUAAAAAUACAUCAUUUUUUCAACAUCAUUAAAGGGCUUUUCAGAUUUAGAAAGAAAGAAAGGAAGGAAGUAUCAUGGUUUUUUACUCUAAAAAUGAUUAUACCCCGUAUUUCCUGACAGUUCCUUGGUGACUUAACCUCUCAGCACCGCGGCUGGCAUCUGGUUAGCUGCAUUGUUUUAUCGAGCAUUGGGAAUGGAAGCUCUUAAGAUUUUCUCUUCAAGCGCUCAGAAAUGUUGCCUAAUCAGCAUGCUGCUCUUGGCAGACGGGUUUUUCUUCAGCUCCAAGACAUGCAUAUUGAUCAGUCAUUUACUUUUGUUACCUAGCAUCCUUGUCAUCGAUUUUAAUUGUUCGCUAUUGAAGAUGAAGCAUUCAGCACACGUAGGACUGCCAGCUCUGAAAUCUUGCUUUCUGCACCUUUUGCCAGACGGUGCACGCAGCUAAGCCCUUAGGAGCAGCGAGUCUCUCUCUCAGCUAGCAAUCUGCGCAAAUUAUGCAGCAAUUUUUCUCUAUUAAAUCAAUUUCUGAUUGUCUG
ensembl:lncRNA